AGCACUAAAGUAAUUAAUCAGAAUGUGUGUGGAAGGUUCUUCCAACAGUCGGGUCGCAGGACAGCAUCUUCUUGUUCUUGAAACCCUUGUCGAACCAGCCUUCGGGGUGCAAUGAUGGAUACUCAUGGCAUCCCAGUCUAUUGAGGGAGCACUCUGCUGUUAGUACCUGCCUAAGGGGAAAGCAGCACAGGAUCCUGCCAUAAUUGGGAGUGCUAUGAUCUCGUUGUCAGUUCCAAUAGUUAGUUAGCUAGGAUCAUUAGAAUAGCUAGGUAGACAACUGCUGCUUCUUGGCUUAUGCUAAUCUAUUACGACGGCUUUUUUUUAGGAUCUUAACUCUGUGCCUACUGCACAUGGAAUUGGUAAGUUCAGGCUUUAACUAAACCUAGGUGUGCCAAGGGAACUGUAGCCUUUGACUGGAUUAGUGAAGAGUAGUCUUGAGCACUUGUGCAAGCCUUGCAUGCCAGGCUUGUUGCAACUGAGUCGACAAGGGCUUCAAGAGCAAGGAGGUGUUGUCUCUGUGAGUCUACUGUUGUUGAACCAUCCCACACAUUCUGGUUGAUUACUUCUGUGCUCAGUUAAUGGUGCUCACAGUCACAGGGUCCCUUUAGUUUAUUAUGCCCUUGUUGUAUUAGUCCCUUGGGCAAGGAAACUGCAGGGUGAUUAUUGGUUUGCUAUCAAUGGUGGUGGUGUGAUUGGUUUUUGUGGUUUAAUUUUUGUUGCGGAGAUUUUUUGAUGAUUGAUCGGUUUUGUUUGAACUGCUGCGCUCAAUGUAACCAUGCAUUUGCUUGUUCUCUUGUAGCCACAAUGCACACACACACAGCUCCUCCUCCUAGCUACUGUACUAGUGUUCCAUUCUCUCACUGCUUUUGUCUCCUCUCUCCCCCAGGUACAGACAAGCCAUGCUGCUCUAGACUGAGUGGUGGUUGUCGAACUAGGUAGUUGUUCAAUACUCCAAAAUGUUUUGUGUUGCAGGUAUAUAUAUUCUAGAUGGGCUCUUCGUUGAGAAAGGUAAACAUGUUUGAUUUUCUCACGACUUGCUUUUGUCUGCUAUCCCCAGAUACGAACAAAGCCACACUGCUGUGAGACUUAAGUGGUGGUUGCUAACUGUCGUCAGCAUGGUUAUAUAUAUAUUGUGAUUUAUUUUGCAGAUGUUGGAAGGGGAGGGGCUUACUUGUGUAGCCACACCCACCCAUAACAAUUUAAGUGUCUCUACCUUCGUUACAGUUUUAUUCAUUCCCCUUCGCUACAUACAGGUUGUCUUGUCCUGUGAGCUGACUAACGGAGACCAAGUAAAGGUAGGUCAAGUUGAUUGUAUUAACCAACUAAUCAUUGUGAACCCCAUCAGCAGACAGUGCACUGGAAUAAUGGUGAAACCACAGGAUCUAGGACGAGAUUAAUUAAUAUUUUUGUAACUAAUGUUUUUGUGAUAAACAUAAUAGACGAUAAUUUCGUUUUAAAUAAAAUACUGGAAAGAGUGAA